rnacentral:rRNA from 1 species
GAACGCUCCGCAAGGGGAGUGGCAGACGGGUGAGUAACGCGUGGGAACGUACCCCUCGGUUCGGAAUAACUCAGGGAAACUUGAGCUAAUACCGGAUACGGCCGGGAGGCGAAAGAUUUAUCGCCGAGGGAUCGGCCCGCGUCCGAUUAGCUAGUUGGUGAGGUAACGGCUCACCAAGGCGACGAUCGGUAGCUGGUCUGAGAGGAUGAUCAGCCACAUUGGGACUGAGACACGGCCCAAACUCCUACGGGAGGCAGCAGUGGGGAAUAUUGGACAAUGGGCGAAAGCCUGAUCCAGCCAUGCCGCGUGAGUGAUGAAGGCCUUANGGUUGUAAAGCUCUUUCGUCAGGGACGAUAAUGACGGUACCUGAAGAAGAAGCCCCGGCUAACUUCGUG